rnacentral:lncRNA from 1 species
AUCCAUGGAUUUAGCCAACCUUGGAUUGAAAAUAUUUGGGGAAGAAUGCACCUGUUCUGAACGUGUUCAGAGUUUUCCUUUCCUGAACAACUGCUGGAACAGCUGUUUACAAAGCAUUUGCAUAGGAGAUGAAAGUUUACCAAAGGAUAUGCAUAGACAGAAACUCAAGUAUCCUAGAGUCACUUCAAACUGUGUGUCCAAGGACAACUUUAAACUUCGGAUCCUCCUCCCUCUACGUCUUGAGUUCCGGGUUUACGAUUAUUGGUAUGUACCACUGUGCCUUUUUAUAUGAUGCUAGGGUUAGAACCCAGGGCUUCAGGCCUACUAGGCAAGCACACUACCAACUCAGCUAUACCAGAAGCCCCUGGCUUCCCAUUUCUUUUAAGUGCCCUGACUGUUUAGCACACAUUUGAGCAUGAGGUAAGGCUCAGUGGCAGAGUUCUUGCCUGCCCAGCAUGUGCGAGGCCCAUGUUUGUUCUCCAGCACUAAUAAAUGAAUGAGUGAGUGAGCGAGCGAAUGAAUGAAUGAAUGAAUGAAUGAAUAGACAAAUAAAACUGGUGCAUUUUGAAUCAUAUGAAGAAGACAAUGAAUCCCCUUUAAGACAGUACUUAGGAAUAACCACCAUUAGCAUUAACACAUAUUUUAUGUUCUGUCUGCAAAUACAUAUGCACAUAAAUGUGCUUUUAAAGUACACUUGCACUGAGUACUCGAGCACUGGCUGUUUUCCUUUCCCA